AACGAACGCUGGCGGCAGGCUUAACACAUGCAAGUCGAACGGGCGUAGCAAUACGUCAGUGGCAGACGGGUGAGUAACACGUGGGAAUAUCCCUUUCAGCUCGGAAUAACUCAGGGAAACUUGAGCUAAUACCGAAUACGUCCUUCGGGAGAAAGAUUUAUCACUGAGAGAUUAGCCCGCGUCUGAUUAGCUAGUUGGUGAGGUAAUGGCUCACCAAGGCGACGAUCAGUAGCUGGGCUGAGAGGAUGAUCAGCCACACUGGGACUGAGACACGGCCCAGACUCCUACGGGAGGCAGCAGUGUGGAAUAUUGGACAAUGGGGGCAACCCUGAUCCAGCCAUGCCGCGUGAGUGAUGAAGGCCUUAGGGUUGUAAAGCUCUUUUGCUGGGGAAGAUAAUGACUGUACCUAGAGAAUAAGCCCCGGCUAACUUCGUGCCAGCAGCCGCCGUAA
rnacentral:rRNA from 1 species